GGGAAGGUGGCUCAGUGGUAGAGUGCUUGCCUUGCAUGCAUGAGGUCCUAGGUUCGAUUCCUCAGUACCA
rnacentral:tRNA from 1 species